UAUGGUGAUAUAACAUUGACACGAAGAAGGAGGAUAGGUAGAUACCUGCCUUUUUAUAUUUAAGUAAGUACCUAUUUUAUAAUUAUAGUUUAGACGAUUCGUACACGACACUGUGCAAGCGGUCAGUAAGGUUGCUUUAAGGUGGUUAUCACACGAUGCGGUCUCGGUCGCUUCCGGCCAAGUAGU